rnacentral:rRNA from 1 species
GAUGAACGCUAGCGGCAGGCUUAACACAUGCAAGUCGAGGGGCAGCACGGGUAGCAAUACCUGGUGGCGACCGGCGCAAGGGUGCGUAACGCGUGAGCAACAUGCCCUAUACAGGGGGAUAAUCCAGGGAAACUUGGUCUAAUAUCCCAUAGUAUUUAGAGGAGGCAUCUUCUAUAAAUUAAAGCUUCGGUGGUAUAGGAUUGGCUCGCGUGACAUUAGCUAGAUGGUGAGGUAACGGCUCACCAUGGCAAUGAUGUCUAGGGGUUCUGAGAGGAAGGCCCCCCACACUGGGACUGAGACACGGCCCAGACUCCUACGGAAGGCAGCAGUGAGGAAUAUUGGACAAUGGAUGGAAAUCUGAUCCAGCCAUGCCGCGUGCAGGAAGACAGCCCUAUGGGUUGUAAACUGCUUUUAAUGGGAGCAAUAAGGUCUACGUGUAGACUGAUGAGAGUACCAUAUGAAUAAGC